UCCUGGUGGAAAUGUUCCAGGAGGAUGUGAUCUGAGUGGGUGACCCACUGGAGGUGAUGUCGGGGUUCCUGAACAAGGGGUUCCUAGGCAUGAUUGGGUGCACAGAUGGCACACACUUGGAAAUUUUAGCACCCCCCUGGAGAGUUUUCACAAUGGAGGGAUGUAAGAAGUGGAGUCCCCCAGGGAUCUGUACUGGGACUGGCCAACUAGAGGAAGUAGUGUGGCAUGCCAGCAGCACACAAUCAGUUUUGAAUGAAGGAAAAGAGGAAAAAGAUGGCAUCGGUGGUGGGCAACUAGAGAUUGGACAGCUCUUUUGGACAGCCAAACAUGACCCUCCAAAACCUGAGGCACCCACCAAAAGCCUGAGAUAUGACAAUCCUACCUGUGAUACUGAGAGGCAAUGGCUGACUGAAGGUCACCUGGUGAUCUUCAUGUCUGAUGCUGAAGACUCCAGUGAUCAUUGGAACCUUUCUGACAUAAUAAUGACACAAUUAUAGCCAUGCAAUCAUGUAUAGACAAUGCCCUGCCUUAGGCACCAUGCUGCCAUAAACAAGUAAUAACAUGGCCUACAAAGACCACAUUGGAUUUUGCAGAACCUUGGCCUGGUGCCUGUCUCUUCUGUCAGUUCACAUCAGCUGAUCUCAACUGCAGAGCUCCAUUUCUGCCUUCCUCUUUUUUUGGCCCCUGUAACUCUUCAGCAACAGAAGUGCAUGCACAAAGAUGGCCCUCAGAAGAUGCAAUUCCAUCUCUGUCUGCAGUUUGGAUUCUGAUCAGUUCACAUCAGUUUUUCGUCGCGGGCCACAAAACAUGUGUAGCUAUUUGUGUGUUGGGGGGACAAAGUCCAGUCCUACCACCACCCUCUGGGGCCCACUGCAAGCUCAGCUGCAGCUCCCCCCACCUUUCACUACAUGAGAUGAGAGAGGUAAUAUUGUAGGGUACCAAUCAGACUGCCAGCAAAAGGAUAGAUCCUGCUCAGUCAAGCACAUCCUGGCCUUGGUUUCCUUUCUGCUCAGCUCUCUUAUCUCAGCUGGAGGAGGACUCUUGCUUCCUCUGGAGUGCCUCUCUGGCCUUCCCUUCCAGCCUUCACAGGAAGGUAGCAAAAAGGAAAAGUUUGAAACAUGGGUGUAGCUAUAAUAAAGGUUUCCAGGAACCCGGGCCCACAGCUCUUGGGGCCCCCCGGCUCCACCCCUCCCUGUUUUCUUCAUUCUCUCCAUCACUCUGAGGGAGAUAAUGAGAGAGAUGUGGACACGGGCCCCCUUUCCCCCAGCUAUGCCUCUGGUUUUGAAAUGUGCCUGCGAGAGAUGACCUCCUCUUUUCUCUAGUACCAACAGAAUUCCAUGCCUCUCCCCCUUUGAACUGUUUUGGCAAGCUCAGAGGGGGCAAAGGAGGGGGAUGGUUGGCAGCUGAGGGGCUAGAUUUUGACUUGAGAUUGCCAGGUCUGGUCACUUCAGUUAAAGCAGGCCUUCUGAGAUACCUUGACAACAAGCACAACCUACUGUAUUGUCUUCCGGUUCAGUGAAUUGACUGUCCUACUCUGAAGUACAGUUGUGUGAACUUCAGACAGACUCCCCUUCCAUCUCUUCCCCUGAACCAGGGGAACCUCUUCUGCAGGCCUCCAUUAAGAGUCCAAGGGAACUGUAUAUAACUAAUAAACCUCAUUAGUCAUAAUCACUUGUGUGGUGCCUGAAUACAGUAAAGGUUCAACAAGCAACCCAUGAGCUCUGCUUCUUGACAAGCCACACCGCAAGGUCUAGUGGCUUGUGUGAAAUGUAUAUUUGCUGCCAUUCUGCCUACUGGAACAAUACUUAAAUUAUUAUUAUUAUUAUUAUUAUUUUAUUUUAAUAAUUUGUACACCGCUUGUCUAAAGUACCCAAAAUGAUAUAGAAAAAAGAUUUUCAAAACACGCUGAAAUAGAUAAUAAAAACUUCAGGCAUCAUCAAGACUAGUUAGUCAAGACUAAGCACCAUUGAAAUCACUGAGGCAACUUAGUCAUAACUAACAUGAGGCCUAUUAAUUUCAAUGCAACUUAGUCAGGACUAACUUAGUCUGGAUGCUACCCACUGUAAGUACAUACAAACAUAUGGGUUUGACAUCUUCCUGUAGCUAACUUCCCUUCUUCCUCAAAAUGUUUCUGGUCUUUUCUAAAAACUCUUUUUUAGGUCGUUCACACAACCGGGUGGCAGUGGGUGGGGAAAAGGCUAGUGAGAUUCAACUCACCUCCCCCGCCCCCCAGAUGAGCGCUGGUCUAUCCAUGCUGUGUGCCACAGUGUGGAGCAUUGGAGGCUGAGGCGAUGUGUCCUGGCCUAUGGAUAUCCCACAAUGCACCUCGUGGCAUGCACAAUGCAGUGGGUGCCAAUCUCUAGGUGCCCAUCUCUGUGUCUUCUGGGGCUUCAUAUAGCCCCAGUGUACACAUGAUCCUGGAGCCUGGGUGAAGGGCUUGCUCGAGCCUUUAACCCUGGCUAAGAGCUGGGUUUCA